rnacentral:rRNA from 1 species
CAGUAGCCGCGGUAAAACGAAGGGGGCUAGCGUUGUUCGGAAUCACUGGGCGUAAAGGGUGCGUAGGCGGAUUCUUAAGUCAGGGGUGAAAUCCCGAGGCUCAACCUCGGAACUGCCUUUGAUACUGGGGAUCUUGAGUCCGGAAGAGGUGAGUGGAACUGCGAGUGUAGAGGUGAAAUUCGUAGAUAUUCGCAAGAACACCGGUGGCGAAGGCGGCUCACUGGUCCGGAACUGACGCUGAGGCACGACAGCGUGGGGAGCAAACAGGAUUAGAUACCCCCGUAGUCCCUGUCUCUUAUAC